CCUUUGUGAACAUACCAUUGUUGCUUCGGCGGGAUCGUCCCGGGCGCGCCUCUUGGGGCGUGUUCCGGAUCCAGGCGCCCGCCGAGGGUAUCAAACUCUUGUUUUUAUAGUGGACUUCUGAGUAUCAUGAGAAAAUAAAUUAAAACUUUCAGCAACGGAUCUCUUGGCUCUGGCAUCGAUGAAGAACGCAGCGAAAUGCGAUAAGUAAUGUGAAUUGCAGAAUUCAGUGAAUCAUCGAAUCUUUGAACGCACAUUGCGCCCGCCAGUAUUCUGGCGGGCAUGCCUGUCCGAGCGUCAUUUCAACCCUCAGAACCCGUUCGCGGGAUCUGGUGUUGGGGAUCGGCCGUCCCUCGCGGCGGCCGGCCCCGAAAUGCAGUGGCGGCUCUACCGCGAACUCCUCUGUGUAGUAGUGAUACCUCGCAGCUUGGAUAGUGGUAUGGCCUCGCCGUAAAA
rnacentral:rRNA from 1 species